UGGGGAAUAUUGCACAAUGGGGGAAACCCUGAUGCAGCGACGCCGCGUGAAGGAUGAAGUAUUUCGGUAUGUAAACUUCUAUCAGCAGUGAAGAAAAUGACGGUACCUGACUAAGAAGCCCCGGCUAACUACGUGCCAGCAGCCGCGGUAAUACGUAGGGGGCAAGCGUUAUCCGGAUUUACUGGGUGUAAAGGGAGCGUAGACGGUAUGGCAAGUCUGAUGUGAAAGGCCAGGGCUCAACCCUGGGACUGCAUUGGAAACUGUCGAACUAGAGUGUCGGAGAGGCAAGUGGAAUUCCUAGUGUAGCGGUGAAAUGCGUAGAUAUUAGGAGGAACACCAGUGGCGAAGGCGGCUUGCUGGACGAUGACUGACGUUGAGGCUCGAAAGCGUGGGGAGCAAACA
rnacentral:rRNA from 1 species